AGCUCCAAUAGCGUAUAUUAAAGUUGUUGCGGUUAAAAAGCUCGUAGUUGGAUUUCUGCAUGGAAGGAGCGGUCCACCCAUUGGGCGCGUACGGCUACCUUUGAUGCAUCUUUCUGAGGACGUGUUCUUCACUUAAUUGUGAGGGCGCAGGACUCAGGACAUUUACUUUGAGGAAAUGAGAGUGUUUCAAGCAGGCAAAUGCCUUGAAUACGUUAGCAUGGAAUAAUAGCAUCGGACCAUCGUCCAGCUGUUGGUGUCUGGGCGAAGGUAAAGGUGAAUAGGGAUUGUUGGGGGCAUUCGUAUUUAACUGUCAGAGGUGAAAUUCUUGGAUUUGUUGAAGACGGACCACUGCGAAAGCAUCUGCCAAAGAUGUUCUCAUUGAUCAAGAACGAAAGUACGC
rnacentral:rRNA from 1 species